AUUGAACGCUGGCGGCAGGCUUAACACAUGCAAGUCGAGCGAGCGGCGGCCGGGUGAGUAAUGUCUGUGAAACUGCCUGAUGGAGGGGGCUAACUACUGGAAACGGUAGCUAAUCCCGCAUACCAUCAGAUGUGCCCACAUGGGAUUAGCUAGUCGGUGGGGUAAUGGCUCACCUAGGCGACGAUACCUAGCUGGUCUGAGAGGAUGACCAGCCACACUGGAACUGAGAAACGGUCCAGAGUCCUACGGGAGGCAGCAGUGGGGAAUAUGGCACAAUGGGCGAAAGCCUGAUGCAGCCAUGCCGCGUGUGGGAAGAAGGCCUUCGGGUUGUAAAGCACUUUCAGCGAGGAGGCGUUACUCGCAGAAGAAGCACCGGCUAACUCCGUGCCAGAAGCCGCGGUAAUUC
rnacentral:rRNA from 1 species